ACAAUGAAGAGUUUGAUCCUGGCUCAGGAUGAACGCUAGCUACAGGCUUAACACAUGCAAGUCGAGGGGCAGCAUUUUAGUUUGCUUGCAAACUAAAGAUGGCGACCGGCGCACGGGUGAGUAACACGUAUCCAACCUGCCGAUAACUCGGGGAUAGCCUUUCGAAAGAAAGAUUAAUAUCCGAUAGUAUAUUAAAACCGCAUGGUUUUACUAUUAAAGAAUUUCGGUUAUCGAUGGGGAUGCGUUCCAUUAGUUUGUUGGCGGGGUAACGGCCCACCAAGACUACGAUGGAUAGGGGUUCUGAGAGGAAGGUCCCCCACAUUGGAACUGAGACACGGUCCAAACUCCUACGGGAGGCAGCAGUGAGGAAUAUUGGUCAAUGGACGAGAGUCUGAACCAGCCAAGUAGCGUGAAGGAUGACUGCCCUAUGGGUUGUAAACUUCUUUUAUAUGGGAAUAAAGUAUUCCACGUGUGGGAUUUUGUAUGUACCAUAUGAAUAAGGAUCGGCUAACUCCGUGCCAGCAGCCGCGGUAAUACGGAGGAUCCGAGCGUUAUCCGGAUUUAUUGGGUUUAAAGGGAGCGUAGGUGGAUUGUUAAGUCAGUUGUGAAAGUUUGCGGCUCAACCGUAAAAUUGCAGUUGAAACUGGCAGUCUUGAGUACAGUAGAGGUGGGCGGAAUUCGUGGUGUAGCGGUGAAAUGCUUAGAUAUCACGAAGAACUCCGAUUGCGAAGGCAGCUCACUAGACUGCAACUGACACUGAUGCUCGAAAGUGUGGGUAUCAAACAGGAUUAGAUACCCUGGUAGUCCACACAGUAAACGAUGAAUACUCGCUGUUUGCGAUAUACAGUAAGCGGCCAAGCGAAAGCAUUAAGUAUUCCACCUGGGGAGUACGCCGGCAACGGUGAAACUCAAAGGAAUUGACGGGGGCCCGCACAAGCGGAGGAACAUGUGGUUUAAUUCGAUGAUACGCGAGGAACCUUACCCGGGCUUAAAUUGCAUUUGAAUAAUCUGGAAACAGGUUAGCCGCAAGGCAAAUGUGAAGGUGCUGCAUGGUUGUCGUCAGCUCGUGCCGUGAGGUGUCGGCUUAAGUGCCAUAACGAGCGCAACCCUUAUCUUUAGUUACUAACAGGUUAUGCUGAGGACUCUAGAGAGACUGCCGUCGUAAGAUGUGAGGAAGGUGGGGAUGACGUCAAAUCAGCACGGCCCUUACGUCCGGGGCUACACACGUGUUACAAUGGGGGGUACAGAAGGCAGCUACCUGGUGACAGGAUGCUAAUCCCAAAAACCUCUCUCAGUUCGGAUCGAAGUCUGCAACCCGACUUCGUGAAGCUGGAUUCGCUAGUAAUCGCGCAUCAGCCAUGGCGCGGUGAAUACGUUCCCGGGCCUUGUACACACCGCCCGUCAAGCCAUGAAAGCCGGGGGUACCUGAAGUACGUAACCGCAAGGAGCGUCCUAGGGUAAAACUGGUAAUUGGGGCUAAGUCGUAACAAGGUAGCCGUACCGGAAGGUGCGGCUGGAACACCUCCUUU
rnacentral:rRNA from 1 species